rnacentral:tRNA from 1 species
GAGGGUAUAGCUCAGUGGUAGAGCGUGUGCUUUGCACGCACGAAGUCCUGAGUUCAAUCCCCAGUACCCCCA